rnacentral:rRNA from 1 species
AUCCUGGCUUAGGACGAACGCUGGCGGCGUGCCAAUACAUGCAAGUCGAACGGCUUUUCUAUGGAAGCUUGCUCCCACUGAGAAGAUAGUGGCGAACGGGUGAGUAACACGUGGGUAACCUGCCCAUAAGAGGGGGAUAACAUCCGGAAACGGGUGCUAAUACCGCAUAGUUUUCUUGAUCGCAUGAUUGAGAAAGGAAAGACGGCCUUUGUGUUGUCGCUUAUGGAUGGACCCGCGGCGUAUUAGUUAGUUGGUGAGGUAACGGCUCACCAAGACGAUGAUACGUAGCCGACCUGAGAGGGUGAUCGGCCACAUUGGGACUGAGACACGGCCCAAACUCCUACGGGAGGCAGCAGUAGGGAAUCUUCCGCAAUGGACGAAAGUCUGACGGAGCAACGCCGCGUGAGUGAAGAAAAGGUUUUCGGAUCGUAAAACUCUGUUGUCAGAGAAGAACAAGUUGGAGAGUAACUGCUCCAGCCUUGACGGUAUCUGACCAGAAAGCCACGGCUAACUACGUGCCAGCCGCCGC